rnacentral:lncRNA from 1 species
AAAAAUGGAACGUGAAAAGCAGAAGAAAUUGGAGAAAGAAAGAAUGGAACAACAACGUUCACAAUUGUCCAAAAAAGAAAAAAAGGCCACAGAAGAUGCUGAAGGAGGGGAUGGCCCUCGUUUACCUCAGAGAAGUAAAUUUGAUAGUGAUGAGGAAGAAGAAGACACUGAAAAUGUUGAGGCUGCAAGUAGUGGGAAAGUCACCAGAAGUCCAUCCCCAGUUCCUCAAGAAGAGCACAGUGACCCUGAGAUGACUGAAGAGGAGAAAGAAUGUUGCUGACAAAAAUGCUUCUAACAGAAAUUCUGCUGGAUGUCACAGAUGAAGAAAUUUAUUACGUAGCCAAAGAUGCACACCGCAAAGCAACGAAAGCUCCUGCAAAACAGCUGGCACAGUCCAGUGCACUGGCUUCCCUCACUGGACUCGGUGGACUGGGUGGUUAUGGAUCAGGAGACAGUGAAGAUGAGAGGAGUGACAGAGGAUCUGAGUCAUCUGACACUGAUGAUGAAGAAUUACGGCAUCGAAUCCGGCAAAAACAGGAAGCUUUU